rnacentral:SRP_RNA from 2 species
GCUGGGCAUGGUGGCUCAUGCCUGUAAUCCCAGCUCUUUGGGAGGUUGAGGCGGGUGGAUCACCUGAGGUCAGGAGUUCAAGACCAGCCUGGCCAACAUGGUGAAAACCUGUCUCUA